rnacentral:rRNA from 1 species
GGGUUGUGAGGUUAAGCGACUAAGCGUACACGGUGGAUGCCCUGGCAGUCAGAGGCGAUGAAGGACGUGCUAAUCUGCGAAAAGCGUCGGUAAGGUGAUAUGAACCGUUAUAGCCGGCGAUGUCCGAAUGGGGAAACCCAGUGUGAUUCGUUGCACUAUCGUUAACUGAAUACAUAGGUUAACGAGGCGAACCGGGGGAACUGAAACAUCUAAGUACCCCGAGGAAAAGAAAUCAACCGAGAUUCCCCCAGUAGCGGCGAGCGAACGGGGAGCAGCCCAGAGUCUGAAUCAGCUUGUGUGUUAGUGGAACGGUCUGGAAAGUCCGACGGUACAGGGUGAUAGUCCCGUACACCAAAAUGCACAGGUUGUGAACUCGAAGAGUAGGGCGGGACACGUGGUAUCCUGUCUGAAUAUGGGGGGACCAUCCUCCAAGGCUAAAUACUCCUGACUGACCGAUAGUGAACCAGUACCGUGAGGGAAAGGCGAAAAGAACCCCGGCGAGGGGAGUGAAAAAGAACCUGAAACCGUGUACGUACAAGCAGUGGGAGCACCUUCGGGUGUGACUGCGUACCUUUUGUAUAAUGGGUCAGCGACUUAUAUUCUGUAGCAAGGUUAACCGUAUAGGGGAGCCGCAGGGAAACCGAGUCUUAACUGGGCGUUAAGUUGCAGGGUAUAGACCCGAAACCCGGUGAUCUAGCCAUGGGCAGGUUGAAGGUUGGGUAACACUAACUGGAGGACCGAACCGACUAAUGUUGAAAAAUUAGCGGAUGACUUGUGGCUGGGGGUGAAAGGCCAAUCAAACCGGGAGAUAGCUGGUUCUCCCCGAAAGCUAUUUAGGUAGCGCCUCGUGAACUCAUCUUCGGGGGUAGAGCACUGUUUCGGCUAGGGGGUCAUCCCGACUUACCAACCCGAUGCAAACUACGAAUACCGAAGAAUGUUAUCACGGGAGACACACGGCGGGUGCUAACGUCCGUCGUGAAGAGGGAAACAACCCAGACCGCCAGCUAAGGUCCCAAAGUCACAGUUAAGUGGGAAACGAUGUGGGAAGGCACAGACAGCCAGGAUGUUGGCUUAGAAGCAGCCAUCAUUUAAAGAAAGCGUAAUAGCUCACUGGUCGAGUCGGCCUGCGCGGAAGAUGUAACGGGGCUAAACUGUGCACCGAAGCUGCGGCAGCGACACUAUGUGUUGUUGGGUAGGGGAGCGUUCUGUAAGCCUGCGAAGGUGGCCUGUGAGGGUUGCUGGAGGUAUCAGAAGUGCGAAUGCUGACAUAAGUAACGAUAAUGCGGGUGAAAAGCCCGCACGCCGGAAGACCAAGGGUUCCUGUCCAACGUUAAUCGGGGCAGGGUGAGUCGACCCCUAAGGCGAGGCCGAAAGGCGUAGUCGAUGGGAAACAGGUUAAUAUUCCUGUACUUGGUGUUACUGCGAAGGGGGGACGGAGAAGGCUAUGUUAGCCGGGCGACGGUUGUCCCGGUUUAAGCAUGUAGGCGGAGGUUCCAGGUAAAUCCGGUACCUUAUUAACGCUGAGGUGUGAUGACGAGGCACUACGGUGCUGAAGUAACAAAUGCCCUGCUUCCAGGAAAAGCCUCUAAGCAUCAGGUAACAUCAAAUCGUACCCCAAACCGACACAGGUGGUCAGGUAGAGAAUACCAAGGCGCUUGAGAGAACUCGGGUGAAGGAACUAGGCAAAAUGGUGCCGUAACUUCGGGAGAAGGCACGCUGAUAUGUAGGUGAAGCCCCUGCGGGUGGAGCUGAAAUCAGUCGAAGAUACCAGCUGGCUGCAACUGUUUAUUAAAAACACAGCACUGUGCAAACACGAAAGUGGACGUAUACGGUGUGACGCCUGCCCGGUGCCGGAAGGUUAAUUGAUGGGGUUAUCCGUAAGGAGAAGCUCUUGAUCGAAGCCCCGGUAAACGGCGGCCGUAACUAUAACGGUCCUAAGGUAGCGAAAUUCCUUGUCGGGUAAGUUCCGACCUGCACGAAUGGCGUAAUGAUGGCCAGGCUGUCUCCACCCGAGACUCAGUGAAAUUGAACUCGCUGUGAAGAUGCAGUGUACCCGCGGCAAGACGGAAAGACCCCGUGAACCUUUACUAUAGCUUGACACUGAACAUUGAGCCUUGAUGUGUAGGAUAGGUGGGAGGCUUUGAAGCGUGGACGCCAGUCUGCGUGGAGCCAACCUUGAAAUACCACCCUUUAAUGUUUGAUGUUCUAACGUUGGCCCGUAAUCCGGGUUGCGGACAGUGUCUGGUGGGUAGUUUGACUGGGGCGGUCUCCUCCCAAAGAGUAACGGAGGAGCACGAAGGUUAGCUAAUCCUGGUCGGACAUCAGGAGGUUAGUGCAAUGGCAUAAGCUAGCUUGACUGCGAGCGUGACGGCGCGAGCAGGUGCGAAAGCAGGUCAUAGUGAUCCGGUGGUUCUGAAUGGAAGGGCCAUCGCUCAACGGAUAAAAGGUACUCCGGGGAUAACAGGCUGAUACCGCCCAAGAGUUCAUAUCGACGGCGGUGUUUGGCACCUCGAUGUCGGCUCAUCACAUCCUGGGGCUGAAGUAGGUCCCAAGGGUAUGGCUGUUCGCCAUUUAAAGUGGUACGCGAGCUGGGUUUAGAACGUCGUGAGACAGUUCGGUCCCUAUCUGCCGUGGGCGCUGGAGAAUUGAGGGGGGCUGCUCCUAGUACGAGAGGACCGGAGUGGACGCAUCACUGGUGUUCGGGUUGUCAUGCCAAUGGCAUUGCCCGGUAGCUAAAUGCGGAAGAGAUAAGUGCUGAAAGCAUCUAAGCACGAAACUUGCCCCGAGAUGAGUUCUCCCUGAGACUUUAAGUCUCCUGAAGGAACGUUAAAGACGAUGACGUUGAUAGGUCGGGUGUGUAAGCGUAGCGAUACGUUGAGCUAACCGAUACUAAUGAACCGUGAGGCUUAACCUUACAACGCCGAAGCUGUU